rnacentral:ncRNA from 1 species
CACCCCUUGGUGCAGAUAAGCCAUCAGGACACGGUUUAGUACACUCCAACAACCUGUGGGGGCGAUGGAAAGACCGUGAGGCUAAAAGGAG